AGCGAACGCUGGCGGCAUGCUUUACACAUGCAAGUCGAACGGUAACAGGCCGCAAGGUGCUGACGAGUGGCGAACGGGUGAGUAAUGCAUCGGAACGUGCCCAGUCGUGGGGGAUAACGCAGCGAAAGCUGCGCUAAUACCGCAUACGAUCUGUGGAUGAAAGCGGGGGACCGUAAGGCCUCGCGCGAUUGGAGCGGCCGAUGUCAGAUUAGGUAGUUGGUGGGGUAAAGGCUCACCAAGCCGACGAUCUGUAGCUGGUCUGAGAGGACGACCAGCCACACUGGGACUGAGACACGGCCCAGACUCCUACGGGAGGCAGCAGUGGGGAAUUUUGGACAAUGGGCGCAAGCCUGAUCCAGCAAUGCCGCGUGCAGGAAGAAGGCCUUCGGGUUGUAAACUGCUUUUGUACGGAACGAAACGGCUCUGGUUAAUACCUGGGGCUAAUGACGGUACCGUAAGAAUAAGCACCGGCUAACUACGUGCCAGCCGCCGCAGUAAAAC
rnacentral:rRNA from 1 species